AGUGAACGCUGGCGGCAGGCCUAACACAUGCAAGUCGAACGGCAGCGCAGCCCUAGCAAUAGGGUGGGCGGCGAGUGGCGGACGGGUGAGGAAUACAUCGGAAUCUACCUUGUCGUGGGGGAUAACGUAGGGAAACUUACGCUAAUACCGCAUACGAACUACGGUUGAAAGCGGCGGACCGCAAGGCGUCGCGCGAUUGGAUGAGCCGAUGUCCGAUUAGCUAGUUGGCGGGGUAAAGGCCCACCAAGGCGACGAUCGGUAGCUGGUCUGAGGGGAUGAUCAGCCACACUGGAACUGAGACACGGUCCAGACUCCUACGGGAGGCAGCAGUGGGGAAUAUUGGACAAUGGGCGCAAGCCUGAUCCAGCCAUGCCGCGUGUGUGAAGAAGGCCUUCGGGUUGUAAAGCACUUUUGUCCGGAAAGAAAUCCUGUCGGUUAAUACCCGGCGGGGAUGACGGUACCGGAAGAAUAAGCACCGGCUAACUUCGUGCCAGCAGCCGCAGUAACAC
rnacentral:rRNA from 1 species